AGAGUUUGAUCCUGGCUCAGGAUGAACGCUAGCUACAGGCUUAACACAUGCAAGUCGAGGGGCAGCAUGGUCUUAGCUUGCUAAGGCCGAUGGCGACCGGCGCACGGGUGAGUAACACGUAUCCAACCUGCCGUCUACUCUUGGACAGCCUUCUGAAAGGAAGAUUAAUACAAGAUGGCAUCAUGAGUCCGCAUGUUCACAUGAUUAAAGGUAUUCCGGUAGACGAUGGGGAUGCGUUCCAUUAGAUAGUAGGCGGGGUAACGGCCCACCUAGUCUUCGAUGGAUAGGGGUUCUGAGAGGAAGGUCCCCCACAUUGGAACUGAGACACGGUCCAAACUCCUACGGGAGGCAGCAGUGAGGAAUAUUGGUCAAUGGGCGAGAGCCUGAACCAGCCAAGUAGCGUGAAGGAUGACUGCCCUAUGGGUUGUAAACUUCUUUUAUAAAGGAAUAAAGUCGGGUAUGCAUACCCGUUUGCAUGUACUUUAUGAAUAAGGAUCGGCUAACUCCGUGCCAGCAGCCGCGGUAAUACGGAGGAUCCGAGCGUUAUCCGGAUUUAUUGGGUUUAAAGGGAGCGUAGAUGGAUGUUUAAGUCAGUUGUGAAAGUUUGCGGCUCAACCGUAAAAUUGCAGUUGAUACUGGAUAUCUUGAGUGCAGUUGAGGCAGGCGGAAUUCGUGGUGUAGCGGUGAAAUGCUUAGAUAUCACGAAGAACUCCGAUUGCGAAGGCAGCCUGCUAAGCUGCAACUGACAUUGAGGCUCGAAAGUGUGGGUAUCAAACAGGAUUAGAUACCCUGGUAGUCCACACGGUAAACGAUGAAUACUCGCUGUUUGCGAUAUACAGCAAGCGGCCAAGCGAAAGCGUUAAGUAUUCCACCUGGGGAGUACGCCGGCAACGGUGAAACUCAAAGGAAUUGACGGGGGCCCGCACAAGCGGAGGAACAUGUGGUUUAAUUCGAUGAUACGCGAGGAACCUUACCCGGGCUUGAAUUGCAACUGAAUGAUGUGGAGACAUGUCAGCCGCAAGGCAGUUGUGAAGGUGCUGCAUGGUUGUCGUCAGCUCGUGCCGUGAGGUGUCGGCUUAAGUGCCAUAACGAGCGCAACCCUUGUUGUCAGUUACUAACAGGUUAUGCUGAGGACUCUGACAAGACUGCCAUCGUAAGAUGUGAGGAAGGUGGGGAUGACGUCAAAUCAGCACGGCCCUUACGUCCGGGGCUACACACGUGUUACAAUGGGGGGUACAGAGGGCCGCUACCACGCGAGUGGAUGCCAAUCCCCAAAACCUCUCUCAGUUCGGACUGGAGUCUGCAACCCGACUCCACGAAGCUGGAUUCGCUAGUAAUCGCGCAUCAGCCACGGCGCGGUGAAUACGUUCCCGGGCCUUGUACACACCGCCCGUCAAGCCAUGGGAGCCGGGGGUACCUGAAGUGCGUAACCGCGAGGAGCGCCCUAGGGUAAAACUGGUGACUGGGGCUAAGUCGUAACAAGGUAGCCGUACCGGAAGGUGCGGCUG
rnacentral:rRNA from 1 species